rnacentral:lncRNA from 1 species
CUCAUGCGGUCGUUGGAGUGAGAGUUCGCUGCCUACUUUUUGGUAGCUCUUCGCUUCUAAUUGAGAGAAUGACUGACAAACCAUGAGUGACCUGAACACCUUCCUGGUUUGAGAAGAUUAGAAGAAGAAUCUCUAUCAGGACCAGUCUUCAGCCAUAGGGGUUCUGCUUCUCGGCUUCUAUAAACAACCAGACAAAUAGUGACGGCCAAAGAAACUGUAGGGAAUUCAUAGAAUUUGUAAAAACUUGAAAAAUUAAAUCCUACAUUUAGACCCAGAUCUCUUAACAUUAUUUAUGUUAUGAAAUAAUAGUAAUAGUAAAGGAAGAGUACAAGAGCAAAACAACAGAUAUAUCCUACUGAAGUAACUUAUGAUUCACUUUCUACUAAAAGUAUAUAGAAAAAUGUAGUGUUG